UCCCGAGCUGUUGCAGCUCAUACCCCUGUGACUGCUGGCAUUUGGAGCGAGCUAAAGACAAUGCGAAGACACAGAAAUGAGGUGACAGUGGAACUCCGGAAGAACAAAAGAGACGAACACUUACUGAAAAAGAGAAAUGUUCCCCAAGAAGAAAGCUUAGAAGAUUCAGAUGUUGAUGCUGAUUUUAAAGCACAAAAUGUAACACUAGAAGCUAUAUUACAGAAUGCUACAAGUGAUAAUCCCGUAGUCCAGUUGAGUGCUGUGCAGGCAGCAAGGAAACUAUUAUCCAGUGACAGAAAUCCACCAAUUGAUGACCUAAUAAAAUCUGGGAUUUUACCAAUUCUAGUCAAAUGUCUA
rnacentral:lncRNA from 1 species